GAACCACUUGUUAGCAGGGCAAUAAGCAUCCUCAGGACUCGCUCAUUGGUGCUCUUGAGGGAGAAGGGCAGAGGCGGACCCCUUUCUGGCCGGGGAUGGGUGUGUGAGCAAGUCCCCCAGCCUGGUCCCCCUUACCUUGUGGGCGUGGUCCAAGGCCUGCUUCCUGUAGUCCAGCUCCUCAUCCAGGUAGCCCUUCUGUUUGCUGAACAGCUCCUGAAACACGGAGAAGCAGGGCUGGGCCUCGGGCAUCCAGUCCUGGGAUGUGAUACAGGGCCACGUGGCGGGGGAGAUGCCACCCACCUUCUCGCUCUCCAGAUCCACCAUCUUCCGCUGCAGUGCUGACUCUGUCUCUUCAAUCCGCUGGAGCCACUGGGCACAAACAGAAUGAGCAGGAAUACUGGCCCCUGGGAGAGGAUGGAUGUUGAUCUGGGAUGCAGCAGGAAGAGACACCUCUGCAGAGCCCUGCCAGGAGAGGUGGAGAAGGGUGGGCCCUUUCCUGGAACCCCUGUUUGCUAGGCACCCCCUCCCCUGCUGCUGGAGGCCUGAGGAGGGUGCUGACAGCAGCCCCAAGGGAAGUGGGAACCCACAAGAGUCUUGGCAUGUCUAUGAGCAACAUCCCCAUCCCCACUGAAAAUCUGAAAGAGAUUCCAGAAAUGGAAAACACGAUGUCCAGCUUCUUCAUCAGCUCUGCCACCAGGAUGUCCUAGGAGGCAAAAGAGGGUAGG